rnacentral:rRNA from 1 species
UACGUAGGGUGCGAGCGUUGUUCGGAUUUACUGGGCGUAAAGGGCGCGUAGGCGGCCACCGCAAGUCGAUUGUGAAAUCUCCGGGCUUAACCCGGAAAGGUCAACCGAUACUGCGGGGCUAGAGUGCAGAAGGGGCAACUGGAAUUCUCGGUGUAGCGGUGAAAUGCGUAGAUAUCGAGAGGAACACCUGCGGCGAAGGCGGGUUGCUGGGCUGACACUGACGCUGAUGUGCGAAAGCUAGGGGAGCGAACGGG